rnacentral:tRNA from 1 species
GGAUUGUGGCUCAGUGGUAAAGUGCUCGCCCAGCACAUGUGAGGCACUGAGUUCAAACCUCAGCACCA